rnacentral:rRNA from 1 species
AACGAACGUUGGCGGCGUGGAUUAGGCAUGCAAGUCGAACGCGUGAGAGGGGCUUGCUCCUCAAACGAGUGGCGAACGGGUGAGUAACGCGUGGGAAACCUGCCCGAAGCGUGGAAUAACACUCCCAACGGGGUGCUAAUACCGCAUGGUAUCGCCGGGUGGCAUCAUUUGGCGAUUAAAGGUGGGGACCGUAAGGCCUGCCACUUUGGGAUGGUCCCGCGUCUGAUUAGCUUGUUGGUGAGGUAACGGCUCACCAAGGCGACGAUCAGUAGCUGGUCUGAGAGGAUGGUCAGCCACACUGGGACUGAGAUACGGCCCAGACUCCUACGGGAGGCAGCAGUGGGGAAUAUUGGACAAUGGGCGAAAGCCUGAUCCAGCCAUGCCGCGUGAGUGAUGAAGGUCUUCGGAUCGUAAAGCUCUGUGGGAAGGGACGAAAAAGCGUGACCUAAUACGUCUCGCCUUGACGGUACCUUCUUAGCAAGCACCGGCUAACUCCGUGCC